AAUUGGGGGACGCGCCGAGGUCCCAGAGAGGCGGUGGGUAGGUGGGGGCGGGGUCCAGGUGGACAGAGACCACGUGUCUGUCCAGUCUUCUGAUUCUACCUCGCCCCAGGAGAGAUGGUGAAAUUAAAGCGGAAGCUUCGGGAAACUUCGAUGAAUUAUCCACACGGGCCUAAGACCCUGCCCCUCGCCCCCCUUGUCUCAGCUGUUUCCUCCCACGUGUCCCAAGGAGCUGUCAUGAUGCCUGCAUGUCAAAGGCCAGUGUCAGGUGAGCAAAUCAACGACCCUCGGCUUCCUGCGAGGGACCUCAUCACGUGACACGGGGGUGCUGAGAGCAGCUGGGAGGAGCACAGGCCUGGGGGGACACACUCUGCCCUUGGAUGGAGACCUGCAGGCCUAUGUUCCCAGAAGUGGUGACGGGAGGUGUCCAUCUGAAGGACUGGGAGGUGACAGGCUGGUGCCUGCGUGUGGGACUGGGAGUCAAGGGGCAGCUCACAUGUUCCUUGGGCGUCAAGGGCUGAGGCGAUGGCUCCCAGCUGGGGCAGCCUCAGCCUCCCUGACUUGCUCUCUGAAAGGGCAUCUGUCCUGCCCAGGACAGGGGACAGUGCAUGCUGGGUGGGAUACGGGCGGCACAAGUGGGGUGCCUGCAGCGUGUGGGGUCCACACCAGAACCCUAACAUUCCUGCUUACUACUUAGGGUUGAUAGGACCCCACCUCAUGGUCCAGGGAAGCUGCAUGAGGACUUACGCAGCUCCAGAUCUCCCUUGGUCUCCCGCCCGGGGACCCUCACCCUGAUUCACUCUCACCCACUAUGCUAAAGGCGCUGAGCUCUGGGUAGGCACAGAGCAAGAUGAGUUCUGGCCACAUGGUGGCACCAGAGCUCCCUGCUCUGCCCAGGUACUCAUUGUGGGCUGUGGGGUUGCCAUGGUGAUGAGACGUGCACUGCCCUGCGCCAGGCCCUGCCAACGGCACCAGGAGGCAUCCGUUCUUGUGGCCCCACUAGGGGCUGGGGGUAAAUCAGUGGGAGUCAACGCUGGAGCUGCAGGGAACACUGGUGUGAAGGAAACAGGUGGGCUGUGUAAGGCCCCGCCUGAUGCCCCACAUCCUUGCACCUGCAUGGCCGCAGCAUAGCUGUGCCUGUGUAAGCUCUUUAGGAAGAUCCUCUGUGUGGGGUUGGGCCCCUGUGACUGUCAGUGGGAUUCUGGGGAGGCCCUAGGCACUGCAAGAAGGAUGGGCCCCCCAAUCCUGGCUGGCCCGGCAUGUUGCCCAACACCCAGAAAGUUCUGGUGGGUGUGUCCCGAGAUGCCCACGAUCUUGGCUCAUUUUCUUCCCAAUCACCAAAAUCCAUCUUCACUCUGGCCCAGGUGGGCACCGACAGAGGGGGCAGCUGGGCUGGCAAGGCUGCAGCAUGGACAUGGUGGAAGGUCUGAGCUCAGUAGGGAUCCAACUGGCAGGGCCUCAUUUGCCUGCCCCCACACACCCCCGUGGGGUACACAGACACCCCCCUUGGAGGGAGGGCUCCUUCAAAACAGCCAAAGCCCUUGCCUCAGGCCCACUACUCAGCAGCUGCUCUGGGUUAUCGGGUCCUGGGAGGGGGAGUGAAGGACUCAGGUCUUUGCAGAGUGGGCCCCACAGAGCUGUGCUCCGAGGUGGCUCCACCAACCUGUGGUCGUCAGAUGAUGGUCGAGUGCACAGAUGGGCCCCUCCUUGUUGCCAGGACAUCUGAGGGAGCCUUGGAGAGGUCAAGAGAUGGCCAACAAGAUCACCCGUUCCGAGGACCCAGCACCCACCCAGGCUCUGCAUCUCUGCCCUGACACCGAGUCAGGGAACCCAAGUGAGGGACCCCAAGAGUGUCCUUAGGAUUGUGCCCUGAGACUCACCUGAGACCACAGGCUGUCUCCCCCAGGGGCAGGCCAGUGAGAGGCCACUGUCUGCAGGGUGAUAAGCACGUCCCUCGUGCUAGUCAGUGGGGACGGACCAGAGGAACCUGGAAGGGGUGGGAGGACUCAGGACGAGUGUUCCAGCCCUGAAAGUUGCAGAAACUCCUCAGGUGGGAUCUACCAGCCCCUCGGCUGGGAAGAGGCAGUGCAUGUGGCACCCACAGGUGUCUGGCUCUCCCAUGGCUCCCUGUCCCUUCUGCAGCCCCACGUGUUGGGGGACACCAGCUGGGUUGGGAGGGCACACUGCACAUGGCCUUUCUCAUUGGUAUUCAUGUUUCCGUCCCCAUAGCACCAGCACAGCCUGCAGGGGUCUAUUGACUUGAUCAGGAUCAUCGCCAACAAGAACAAAAAUCUCACAUCUAUAUAAAGAGGUGUAAGUGGUGACUAGUCGGAAGGGGCCGUGCUGUCCUCUUGCUCCUUCCCCAGUCACAGCUCAGGGGGCCCGGCCACACUUGAGUGACUGUCCCUGGGCUGGGCAGCCUCACUCACUGGACCUGGGCAUCGAUGGGUAGCUGGCCUGCCUCCUUGUACCCCCGACUUUGGUGGUGUCUGCUGCCGUUUUAGCCAUGUAAAUGGAAGUCUCUUUUUGAAACUUCAUGUUCUUUUUAUACAAGAUUCUUUUGUUGCCGAACCAGCUGGAGACCUGUGGACACACAGAGAUAGCGGUCUCUAGAAAAGCUGACUCAGUAAUGAGAUGAUGGGAACAGACAGCAGGCUCCCUGAGGUGUCUGUACUCCCACUGCUUGGGAGGAUCAUCUUUGAGUGACAGCUUGCAACCCUGGGGCUGGGUGAGAGGACAGGGCUGAGAAGAUGGCACUGAUUGAACUGUGGACCCAGGGAAACAUCUGUGGUGGGUCGAGGACACCCUGGAGCUGGCAUGGCUUACAGGAGAGGGUGCAACCUUGCUGCCUAAGAACCAGGUGCAGCUGGGACCUGGAACAGGGAAGGAGCUGGAGGGAAAACAGGCCUGUCUGUGAUGUGCUCAGAGUGCAUGCACUCAGGGCAGGGGGCGCAACAGACUCAAUUCUGGAUUCCUCUUUAGGAGAAGCAAAAGCCAGGGAGACACGCAUCCCUUAAGACCCAGUAACCCCAUUUCUGGGAAUCAGUUCAAGGGAAGAACAUGAUCGAAUUCAAGACUUAUCAAAGGAUAACACGGGUGAACUGACAGGGGCGUGGGAAGGGGCCGAGCACUAAGCCAGCCUGUGUUCAGCCUUGGAGCUGGCUGGGAGGGAGCCGUUACCACUCCCGUUCCACGAGCAGGCAGUCCCGGCGGCGGAGGAGCUGGCCCAGGGCUAAGUGGUGCCAGCCCAGCUCUGACUCCAAACCUGCACCGAGACUCCCAGGGCAGCGCUUCUCCCCACGGGGUGUUCACCGUGGUGGGGCCGUCCUGUGCACGGUAGGUUGCUGAACAGCGUCCCUGGUCUCCACUACCAGAUGCCAGGAGUGCCCCAGCUAGAGUUGUGAAAAUGAAAAUGUCCCCUGUGGGCAGAAGCCCCCAGGUGAGACCCUGGGCCAGUGUCUCCCUACGAGCAUGGAGAUGUGCACAACCGGAAACACUUCAAUAUCCCAAAGUUAGGCACGUGUCCCUGCGGUGGAGUAUAUGUGUAGGUUAAUAAACAGAAAUAAACGGUUGAGUUGUGGUGGCAGGACUGUGGAUGGAUGACCUUUCCUCCUUUAAAAAUUUCUUUCUGUAAUGUCCCUACAUCAUCCUCGCAAUGUUAACCAUGAAAAGAAACAGCCCCUGUGUGUGCUCCCUGCUCCUCAAUGUGUCUCUCCUCUCCUGGGUGUCCUUCUGCCCCUGGGUGUGAGGGUGACCUUCUCUUAACCAAGCCAGAGAAACACCUGGUUCCCACUCACCUACAAGGGAUGUGCCGGAACAUCUUUGUGGACUAGGUUUGCAGAAGAAUGGUGGCAAGCGGUUUUCCCUGUUGAAUUCAGCUGGCAUUUUAGAGGGACAAAGAGCAAACUUCCUGAGG
ensembl:lncRNA